GUUCCUACGGGACGCAGCAGUGAGGAAUAUUGGUCAAUGGGCGAGAGCCUGAACCAGCCAAGUCGCGUGAGGGAAGACGGUCCUAUGGAUUGUAAACCUCUUUUGCCGGGGAGCAAAAAGCGGUACGUGUACCGCAUCGAGAGUACCCGGAGAAAAAGCAUCGGCUAACUCCGUGCCAGCAGCCGCGGUAAUACGGAAGGUCCGGGCGUUAUCCGGAUUUAUUGGGUUUAAAGGGAGCGUAGGCCGCAUGUCAAGCGUGCUGUGAAAUGUCCGGGCUCAACCCGGGCCUUGCAGCGCGAACUGGC
rnacentral:rRNA from 1 species